CAGAGGUUUUGCUAGGAAGUAUUUCAGGGCCGGACUGGGGAUACACAGCAGCCCUGGAAAAAAAUCUAUGCCAGCCCCAUAAGUCAUUGUGUCGUGUGUUUAUAAAUUAGUAACUGGAGCAGGAGAGUGGAGUGCAGGGGAAUGUGGGUGUGUGAAUGCAGAUUAGAAGGGGUUGAGUUGCCAGCCAGCUGUGAAACAUUAUGAUCCACCUCAAAUGCUUGUGCACAGUAUUUUUUUUAAAUUAAUUUGAGUAUGUACACAACUUCAAUUUGUGUG